AGCGAACGCUGGCGGCAGGCUUAACACAUGCAAGUCGAACGCAUCCUUCGGGGUGAGUGGCAGACGGGUGAGUAACACGUGGGAACGUACCUUUUGGUUCGGAACAACUGAGGGAAACUUCAGCUAAUACCGGAUACGCCCUUAUGGGGAAAGAUUUAUCGCCGAAAGAUCGGCCCGCGUCUGAUUAGCUAGUUGGUGAGGUAAUGGCUCACCAAGGCGACGAUCAGUAGCUGGUCUGAGAGGAUGAUCAGCCACACUGGGACUGAGAAACGGCCCAGACUCCUACGGGAGGCAGCAGUGGGGAAUAUUGGACAAUGGGGGCAACCCUGAUCCAGCCAUGCCGCGUGAGUGAUGAAGGCUUUAGGGUUGUAAAGCUCUUUUAUCCGGGACGAUAAUGACGGUACCGGAAGAAUAAGCCCCGGCUAACUUCGUGCCAGCAGCCGCCGCAGUAA
rnacentral:rRNA from 1 species